rnacentral:rRNA from 1 species
AUUGGUGACAGGUGGUGCAUGGUUGUCGUCAGCUCGUGUCGUGAGAUGUUGGGUUAAGUCCCGCAACGAGCGCAACCCUUGUCUUUAGUUGCCAUCAUUAAGUUGGGCACUCUAGAGAGACUGCCAGGGAUAACCUGGAGGAAGGUGGGGAUGACGUCAAAUCAUCAUGCCCCUUAUGCUUAGGGCUACACACGUGCUACAAUG